AUCUUUUUAGUAUAUAUAAUAUAUUUGACUUCCAAUCAAAAGAUCUUUAAGUAAAGAAAAGAUA
rnacentral:tRNA from 2 species